UACAGAGGGUGCAAGCGUUAAUCGGAAUUACUGGGCGUAAAGCGCGCGUAGGUGGUUUGUUAAGUUGGAUGUGAAAUCCCCGGGCCCAACCUGGGAACUGCAUCCAAAACUGGCAAGCUAGAGUAUGGUAGAGGGUGGUGGAAUUUCCUGUGUAGCGGUGAAAUGCGUAGAUAUAGGAAGGAACACCAGUGGCGAAGGCGACUUUCUGGACGAAUACUGACGCUGAGGCGCGAAAGCGUGGGGAGCAAACAGGAUUAGAAA
rnacentral:rRNA from 1 species